GAUUAAUUAAAAGUCCCUUACAGGCAUUUAAUUUAAUUAACAAGUUUAUUCCAGGUACUAAAAUGUCCUCGAAGCUUAUUUAUAACAGCUUAUUUUAGGCACUCAAGUUAAAGGAUAAUUGCACCUUAAAGGAUAAUUGCAGGCACUGUGUACUAAUUAAUGACAAGUGACGUGAAUUAGUGAGAUAAAUUAAUUAAACCUCUUACAGGUAUUUAAUUUAAUUAACAGGUUUACUACAAGCACUUAAAUGCCUCAGAAGCUUAUUCAUAGCAGGAAAAUGAGUAAAUAAAAGACUUAUUCUAGGCACUCAAGUACCUUAAAGGAUCAUUACAAGCACUUUAUAGAAAUUUAAGUCUCUUCCGGGCAUUGAAUUGACGAAACAGUGGGGCUGCCAAGGCAGUUGUGCAUAUAGGUCUCCUGAUGGACCCGUCAUGCCCCACCGGGGGUUACCAGAGCCCAACAACCUUAGAGAAACCGAUAAGACUCCCUGGUCUGAAGGACUUAAAGUCGCUCGGUACACUGAAAGUGUUACCCAAGUAUUUGAACCUGGCGCGCUGGCACUACAUGUUCAACGGUUUCAUCCUCCUCACAGCACCAUCGGCAUUCCGGGUUGUCCGCAAUACCGAUAGUAUGGAGAUGGCUUCUUAAGUGCCAGUGACUAGUUAAAAGACCUGUCCCUAGCCGAAUUUCGCGUCUUUUUAGGCGUAGUAGAUUUUUGGUGAGACAGGCAGAAAGCCCACCUAUGUACGCUUUGGCUUGUCUCAUACCAGGGGACUCGGUCCAUCUUCGGUGGGUCCACUUGUCCAGCAGACCCUUCAAUGACGCGACCGCAACGCAUUUGGCGAUACCAACUAUGGGUUCUGGCCCCAUCGGCACAUUCGCGGAUCCCAGUCUGGCGAGAGAGUCCGCUUCCUCAUUACCUGCAUGGCCUGCGUGGCCAGGUAUCCAGACGAGCUGGACCCUGCAGCCAACCUGUAUCAGUUUUUUUAGGACUUUUAUGCACUCUAGUACAAGCUUGGAGCUUACCUUUGAGGCCGUGAUAGCCUUAAUGGCAGCUCUGCUGUCCGAGCAUAUUGAUACAACUGUAUUGCGGUGUUCGCUGCUUAGGAUUUUCUGUCCGCAUUUUAAUACAGCGAAUACUUCGGCCUGGAAGACAGUGGCGUGCUCCCCCAGCGAGUAUGCCCUACUGGUAUGUGGGAUCCCACCAAAAAGCCCUGAUCCAGCUCUGUUAGUUAAUUCUGAAGCCAUCUGUGUACCAGAUGGUCCCCCUAUUUAGUAAUGCAGGUCUGUUGGAAUGCUGCCACUCCUCUCUGCCUGCAAUGUGCGUUACGAAUCCCUCGCAGUUCACGGUCACUGGAGUGGAGCCAUGCACUAUGCAGUCACUGCCCAUCAGAAGGAGAGGACGUUCCUGUAUGGCCCGUGACCAAAUUUUUGCGUGACCGGUCUCGCCAGCACGUAGUUCAGCCGCGUUCAAACAGGGUUCUGAGCCGCGGCUCUCGAGUGCUUGGCAGAUUAAUGCAAAAGGGGUGUCUUCCGCGCAUUAUAAUUUAAUUAACAAGCUUAUUUCAGGCACUUAAAUGCCUCAGAAGCUUAUUCAUAGCAGGUAAUUGAGCCAAUAACAACCUUAUUCUAGCUUAUUUUAGGCACUUAAGUAAGAAUCAUUCACAGGCAUUUAAUAGAAAUUAAUGACAAGCAUGUGAACCAGUGGAGAAGAUUAAUUAAUUAAGUCUCUUACAGGCACUUAAAUUAAGGAACAAGCUUAUUCCAGAUAUUUAAGUGUCCUCGAAGCUUAUUUAUAGCAAGUAACUAAGCUAAUAGGAGACCUAUUCUAGGCACUCAAGUACCUUAAAGGAUCAUUACAGGCACUUUAUAGAAAUUAAUGACAAGCGUGUGAACCAGUGGGGAAGAUUAAUUAAAAGUCUUUUACAGACACUAAAUUUAUUUGACAAGCUUAUUUCAGGCACUUAAGUGCCCCCAAAGAUUAAUUAUAGCAGGAAAAUGAGCCAAUAAGUGAGUUAUUCCAGGUUUUUUAUUUAAUGCCUUAGACUCCUGGAAGGAGAAAAAAAUUAAAAGUAAGCAAUUUUGGUUAUGAUGAUUAUUUCCUAUAAAAUGUCAGGUUUGCAAUCGAUGUUCUCGAAAUCCAAUCGAAUUUUAACAACAAAUUUUGGUAGAGAAUCGUCCCAUUUACAAUAUGUUCUUUAGGCCAAUUAUUUUUGGGAUAAUUGAGUUAAAAAGUGAAGAGAAGUAGAAGAAUUUCAAUAAUCGUCAAUAAUCUUAUUUAUUGACGAUGUUUUCGUUAAACCUGUAAAUUGGAGGUAAUGGGGCAAAAUUUAAGUUCCAACUUUAACGCCAAUUUUAUCAACAAAAAAAAUCAACAGCCUUCUGAUGAUGGAGAAUCUUUCAAUGAGCAGAAAUCCUAUUUAUUUCUUCGUACUUUCAUUUAUACAAAGGAAUAUUCUAGUACCUAGAGCAAAGAACUCAGUACAUCUAUUUCAGUCGUCUCACAAAAUUGUAACAAACCUAAGACAGAAUACUUGGACUAUGCACUCAAAACUGAGUUGACCAGACCGGUAUACUAUAAACCAAAUUAUUAUCUGCAAGUAUUUUACCUUUUAACAAUUUUAUAAUAUGAAUAAAGGUAUAUGCAAGAAUAGUAAUACUAGAAAGCCUUAAUUUUUAUGUGUACCCAUUAAAUCAUUACAGCAUUUACUGAGUUACAUACGCCUCUUUAAAAAUUCUUACUACUUCUGAUGCCUGAUUACAUCACGUCGUAUUUACCUUUAUAUUCAUUCAACAACAAUAAUUACGCAUCAAUUUAAACAAUCCUGCCGCAAAUAUGAUCCUACACACUAUACAAACUGUUUGUUGAAUUACAAAUUUCUUCAAGGUAAAUCAACGUUCAUUAUUCAACUACUUCUCCGCGAAUUAUAUUGUUGCAAUAAAAAAAAUUGAAUCGACUUACCAAAUAAAUGUGACAUUACCUCGCCCAAGAAGCAAUAACAAUAGUCACCAUAGUUUUUGUGAUUUUUUUUUUAUUCGGGAGUAUUUAAAGAGAGAUACAGGAAAUGAAUGACGACGACAACAACAUGUUUUCCGCGACUGUUAAAGCCCGAUGUUCUAGUAAUAAUACGGUCUUGUUGUGGACGGAUGUAAUACCUCGACGACGAAGAGUUCAACUACCGAAGACUGAAACACCGCAGGUGAAAGUAUAAUAAUAAUUCUGGUCUUUGCCUGCUGCUGCUGCUUUUAGCAGGGGGUUUCAAUCGAAACGAAUGCGAUCGUUCGAUAUUCUGUUUCAGUGAUUAUGAGGAGUGUAAGAGAUGGCGACACCGUUCUUUUAUAUACCAUAUUUAAGAGGUUUUUUUUAAUCGUUUAACGUAUAAAACCCAGAUAGAGUAAUAGUUCUUUGACCAGUUAGCUAUGACCUUAGUUAGUGAUGGUCUCAUUGGAUUCAGAAGAAAAAUUAUAUGGGAAUAAAUGAGAGGGCUUGUGUCUCUAAAAAAUCAAUAUUGGCUUUAAGAGAUGCAUAAUCUUUAAUUAAGAGACAGUUUACCCGAGGACCAAUGGUUUAUGUAAUAUGCUUUUUUGUUGCUCUUUUGUAUCAGGUUUUCAUUCAGGUUUUCCUAAUUUUAAUUUGUAUACCAGAAAAAGAAACUUUACCUUCCCAAAUUUUCAUUUUUGUCCUUUUACAAGACCCUAUUUCUUGAUUCUAAAUGACUUAACUUCAACAUUUCUCUGCUUUCCUUCUAUAAGGUAUAAAGCAAUAAAUGACUCACCUUUUGUGUGUACUUUACUGCAGCUAUUUUUUGCAACGAGUCUUGCACUAAAUAAAUAACAGACAAGCAGGAGUUAUCAUCAAUGCUUAAGUUUUGAAUAUACGAUACGAUUGACUGAUGAUACUGUUGUAAAGGCACAUAAUUUCAAAGAUCUCUUUGUGAAUAAUUGUCAGUAAAAUUGCCCUGAAGUCGAUCCUUUGUAGACAAAAACUCAAUUUGAGGAUUUACUUUUUUGCAAACAUCACACUCCUUAGUAAACAGGAUAUUCCCAACCAGGUGACUGUACUGUAAAUCCUCGGAAAUCAGUCCUUGCUUUACUAUUGGUUGGAAAAAUGUCUCUGACUUAGAAAAGUUGAUUUUUUAGCCCUUUUUAUGCAUAUAAACCGAUCUGAGUCCCAUGAAUCUUUGACGAUCGUUAUGAAAUCAUCUCUCCUGUCUCUAGGGUUCAUAAUUAAAUAAGAAAAGUACAAUUUCAUAAUGAUCCAAAGUGUUCCCGAGAGGUGAGAUGCGGUAGAAAGUGAAAAAUUGAACUUUUUACCUCUUUUUAUGCAUAUAAACCGAUCUGAGUCUCAUGAAUCUUUGACGAUCGUCAUGAAAUCAUUUCUCCUGUCUCUAGGGUUCAUAAUUAAAUAAGAAAAGUACAAUUUCAUAAUGAUCCAGAGUGUUCCCGAGAGGUGAGAUGCGGUAGAAAGUGAAAAAAUGGACUUUUUACCUCUUUUUAUGCAUAUAAACCGAGCUGAGUCCCAUGAAUCUUUGACGAUCGUCAUGAAAUCAUUUCUCCUGUCUCUAGGGUUCAUAAUUAAAUAAGAAAAGUACAAUUUCAUAAUGAUCCAGAGUGUUCCCGAGAGGUGAGAUGCGGUAGAAAGUGAAAAAGUGGACUUUUUACCCCUUUUUAUGCAUAUAAACCGAUCUGAGUCUUAUGAAUCUUUGACGAUCGUUAUGAAAUCAAUUCUCCUGUCUCUAGGGUUCAUUAUUAAAUAAUAAAAGUACAAUUUCAUAAUGGUCCAGGGUGUUCCCGAGAGAUGAGAUGCGGUAGAAAGUGAAAAAAUGGACUUUUUACCUCUUUUUGGGCAUAUAAACCGAUCUGAGUACCAUGGAUCUUUGACGAUCGUUAUGAAAUCAUCUCUCCUGUCUCUAGGGUUCAUUAUUAAGUAAGAAAAGUAUAAUUUCAUAAUGAUCCAGAGUGUUCCCGAGAGGUGAGAUGCGGUAGAAAGUCAAAAAGUGGACUUUUUACCCCUUUUUAUGCAUAUAAACCGAUCUGAGUGCCAUGAAUCUUUGACGAUCGUUAUGAAAUCAUCUCUCCUGUCCCUAGGGUUCAUUAUUAAGUAAGAAAAGUAUAAUUUCAUCAUGAUCCAGAGUGUUCCCGAGAGGUGAGAUGCGGUAGAAAGUCAAAAAGUGGACUUUUUACCCCUUUUUAUGCAUAUAAACCAAUCUGAGUCCCAUGAAUCUUUGACGAUCGUUAUGAAAUCAAUUCUCCUGUCUCUAGGGUUCAUAAUUAAAUAAGAAAAGUACAAUUUCAUAAUGAUCCAGAGUGUUCCCGAGAGGUGAGAUGCGGUAGAAAGUCAAAAAGUGGACUUUUUACCUCUUUUAUGCAUAUAAACCGAUCUGGGUCCCAUGAAUAUUAUGAAAUUAUCUAUCUCGUCUCUAAAUAUCAUAAAUACGUCAGAAUAAUGCAAUUUCAUAAUAAUCCAGUUGAAAACGAUUUAUAUACAAUUGCAACUUAGCGCUAUUUAAUCUUAAACGUGGGUUUUAUGUGACCGAUGCGAAGUCUUGUGCCUUUACGAAAGUUCCUUUUGCCAACGAUUCAACUUAUACAGGAACGAAAAAGAAAAAGAGGUAAAAACAUCUAUAUUAACCAUUGAAAAACGUUAAUAGUAAAGACAUUACGAUAUUUAUGAUGGCAAACUUGUUCGAACCAUCUAACAAAGUUUUUAAUGUCUCGUAACAGAAUACGCCCUCCAGUAAAUAUUAAUGAAAAUAAUAAUAAUAAUAAUAAUAAAAAAUAACUAUCUAGGACUUAAAACAAAACGCAGGAUAAUAUCCAAACCAAAAUAAUAACAGCCGGUUAUAAGAAGAUCGGAAGCCCGAUUCGAUCAUCGUCGUCGUCGUCGCUCUCGGACACAUCGGUCUCGUUCAAGAGCCGACCCAUGGCGAUGUAGCGACCGAUAUCGCCACGAUCGUAAUACUGCAUCGCGAUCAACGGAUCGUCCAGAUCCAACUCGAAAUCCUCGAUAACACCGUCAUCAUCAUCAUCGUCGUCAUCGUCGUCGUCGUCUAUGACGGAAUGUAAAUCGUCCCCCAUCCAGAACAUCAACUGAUUGACGCCCUCCAGCACUUCGUCGGUGAUCGCGUGGUUCCGGUUCCUCCAUCUGCGCGGUUUCGGUGGACCGACGUCCAGUUUUUUCCCGUUGGGCAGGGCGUGUCUGUACAGGCACGUGUUGCCGAACGGACACGACCCGUCGCCCCUCUUGAAGUAUCUGCAGUGUAAUUUUUGUCUGCGCGCCUUCUCGCAGAAUAUGAAGUUGUCUUUCUCCUCUUGACGCUCGAACCAGAUUUUACUCGGAUAUACGAAAUCUGUGGAGAAAAAACUCGCGUUAAACGUGUCGUGUUUGUGGGUAAAGACACUUUAUCGCUAUGCGUCGCCGCAUUCUUAUAACCCAUCCCUAUUAGCAAGACAACAACAGAAGUCAAGUAGAUAACUGUACAUGGAUUUUCAGAAGGCUUUCGAUCAAGUAGUACUUUAUUAUCUGGGUUGCUCUGAAAAUGUAUUAAAAUUAUUUUCUUCUAGUACCUUCUAGACCGAAUGCAGUUUGUCGGAAUCGACGGUUUCAGGUGAUUUAAAAUAAGUGCCAAAUUGUCAUGGUGAAUGUCACAAGAAUCAGCAAUAGUGUUAAAGUGUGUUGACACGCAAUCCUUUGCAAAAGGGAUGGGCAGUCAAUUUUAUGGUUAAGUAAAUUAAACAAGAAUUUCACUGAAUGCAUUUCUCUCCUCUUCGCAAGUGACCGUUCAGUAUAUCUAGAGAGCAGCAGGUUAUGGUCAUAGAGUCCAUAAAAUGAGAGAAUAUGCCGGUGACGUAAAAUGCGCACAAACCCACUUUAAACCAAAAAAUCAAUAAAGGGGAGGCCCCAUAUUUCCCUGAUUAGGUUUACUUGACCGUGAAUACAUGCAUCUCUCUCUUUCACAAGGAAAAAGAUAAAGUCGUUAUAAUAGUUAUACCUCUCCGCUUUAUUCAUCACAGUACCCUUGGAAGUUCGAUGGUGUUUCGCAAUAAGUCAGUGUCGUCGCACUUGGGAACGCGUUGAGAGUGUAGAGUGUGCGUGUAAAUUCAGUUAAAUUUGUGUUUACCUACUUUUUUCUUCCAAUUUUGGUGUGUUUUAAUUUAAAGACUAUUAUUUUGUUUGUGUUUGUUACUAGUAACGUAUUAAAGGUAAGAAAAUGUAGUAGUUUUUUUAAAAGGUAUCUUACAGUGCAAAUUAAUAAACCAAAAGUGCAACUCCAAAGAAACAAAGAAUUUACAUUAACUUUAUUAGUCAUACUUCUGACAAAGGUUGGUUUGACGAAAGCCUAAGCGGUAUACGAAAACCCAUUUCAAAAGGACAGCGAUUAAUCAUCGUUCAUGCUGGAGGAAAAAAUGGUUUUGUUAAAGACGGUCUACUUAUAUUCCGCUCAGGUAAGAUAUAAAAAAUAUAUAUUCUGUGCUUAUUAAUUUCUUACUUAUAACAUUUCAGGUUCUAAAAGUGGCGAUUACCAUGACGACAUGAAUCAUGAAAAUUUCAUGAAAUGGGUGGAAACCCAAUUACUUCCGAAUUUGCCACCAAAUUCGGUCUUAGUUUUGGACAAUGCAUCAUACCAUAAUGUACAAGUAAAAAAGAAUGUUACCUCAGGAAGUAAGAAGCAACUCAUAAUUGAUUGGCUUAAGGAGCAUAAUUUAGAACAUGACGAGAAAAUGACAAAAACGGAACUUUAUGAAAUAGUUCUUCAAAAUAAAAGAUUUUAUCCGAUAAAGUGCAAACUUGACGAACUAAUGGAAAGUCACGGACACUCAACUUUGCGUUUGCCUCCAUACCACCCAGAAUUGAACCCCAUUGAAAAAAUCUGGGCCACUGUUAAAAACUGGGUAGCAAGCAGGAACACAACUUUUAAGUUAGCAGAUGUAGAAGCUUUGACGAGGCAAAAAUUUGCAGAAGUAUCUGUCGAUGAUUGGAGAAGCAUUUGUGACCAUGUCGACAAAAUUGAAGACAAAUAUAUAAAAGAUCAUAAUCUUUUUGAUGAAACUUUAGAUUCCCUAAAAUUAACGGUAAACACUGGCUCAUCAGAUGAAGAUUUGGAAACGAGUUCCGACGAAUCAAUUAUCAGCAAUGUGGACAUUUUGUCAGAUAGUGACUAAUUUAAUAAUAUGAAUAUGUAUUAUAUACCGUAAUAAUAUUAUGUAGUGUUUUUAUGAGCAGUAAAAUUUAUAUACCCUUA